rnacentral:rRNA from 1 species
AGAGUUUGAUCCUGGCUCAGGAUGAACGCUAGCGGCGCGCUUGAUCCAUGCAAGUCGAACGAACCUACAUUCUUCGGAAGGUAGGUUAGUGGCGAACGGGUGAGUAACACGUUGGUGACCUGCCCCUGAGUGGGGGAUAACUACCCGAAAGGGUAGCUAAUCCCGCAUAAGUUCCGGCAUUCGUUUGCCGGAGGAAAGGCUUCGGCCGCUCGGGGAGGGGCCUGCGUUGGAUUAGCUAGUUGGUGGGGUAACGGCCUACCAAGGCGAUGAUCCAUAGGGGGCGUGAGAGCGUGACCCCCCACACUGGCACUGAGACACGGGCCAGACUCCUACGGGAGGCAGCAGGAAGGAAUCUUGCGCAAUGGGCGAAAGCCUGACGCAGCGACGCCGCGUGGGUGAUGAAGGCCUUCGGGUUGUAAAGCCCUUUUCCGAGGGAAGAGAAGGGACGGUACCUCGGGAAUAAGCCUCGGCUAACUACGUGCCAGCAGCCGCGGUAAUACGUAGGAGGCGAGCGUUAUCCGGAUUUAUUGGGCGUAAAGGGCAAGUAGGCGGUUGUCAAAGUUGGGCGUGACAUCUCCUGGCUUAACUAGGAGGGGUCGUUCAAAACUAGGCGACUAGAGGGCAGAAGAGGAAAGCGGAACUCCUGAUGUAGCGGUGGAAUGCUCAGAUAUCAGGAAGAACACCAGUGGCGAAGGCGGCUUUCUGGUCUGCACCUGACGCUGAGAGGCGAAGGCCAGGGUAGCGAACGGGCUUAGAUACCCCGGUAGUCCUGGCAGUAAACGGUGGAUACUAGGUAUCAGGGGUCAAGGCCUUUGGUGCCGAAGCCAACGCGUUAAGUAUCCCGCCUGGGGACUACGGCCGCAAGGUUAAAACUCAAAGGAAUUGACGGGGACCCGCACAAGCA